rnacentral:snRNA from 1 species
GGAUGUGAGGGCGAUCUGGCUGCGACAUCUGUCACCCCAUUGAUCGCCAGGGUUGAUUCGGCUGAUCUGGCUGGCUAGGCGGGUGUCCCCUUCCUCCCUCACUGCUCCAUGUGUGUCCCUCCUGAAGCUGCACGCUCAGUCGAAGAGGACGACCUUCCCCGAUAGAGGAGAGGACCGUUCUUCGGUCAAGGGUAUAUGAGUAGCUGCGCUCCCCUGCUAGAACCUCCAAACAAGCUCUCAAGGAUGUCCCAGUCUGGGAUGGGGCCAGCUCUGAGCCCUGCCUGCACCCCCCAGACUCCCCAGCAAAGCCAGGACAUCUAGGACAGGGCCUCCCAGGAAGUCCUG